UUGAAAUAGAGAGUACUUCUAAUGGGUACAGCGUUUCUCAUUGCAGAGAUGAAAAUAUUCUACAAUAGGCUGCAGAAUCUAGAGCACAUUUGCACAACUCUGAAUAUACUAAAAAUGAUUGCAGUGUAUACUUUAAUGGGUGCAUUAUAGGGUAUGGGAAUUAUAUCUCAAUAAAGCUUUAAUUUUAAAAAGGUACAGUGUUGAGUUAAUCAGUGAAAGUUAGAGUUGGCUAAAUUAGUAUCGUUGUUAAGCCUAUCAUAAUUGAUAAUGUUUUAUUGGAAAAGUUGAAAUUUUGUAAAGAAAAUGUAUCAUAUAUUUGAUUGUAAAAAUUUUCACAUAUAAAAUUAAAAAAAUGGAUCUCUGUUUACCCAUCACUCAGCUCAAUAAUUGUCAACAUUUUGUUUCUCUCAUAGCAUGUUUUUAAUGGAUAAUAAUAAUCUGGAAACCAUAUAAACGCUUUUGCACAUAGACACACCUUGUUUUAUUGCAUUUUGCUUUAUUGCUUUUGGCAGAUAUGGUGUUUUUUAUCAAUUGAAGGUUUGUGGCAACUCCGCAUUGAGGAACUCUGUCAAUACCAUUUUUCCAACAGCAUGUAUGUCUAUGUGUCACACUUUGGCAAUUCUCACACUAUUUCAAAAAUUUUCAUUAUUAUUAUAUGUUAUUGUGAUCUGUUAUCAGUGAUCUUUGAUUUACCAUUGUAAUUUUGAGGGGUGGGGUGCCACCCACCGCACUCAUAUAAGACAGUGAACCUAACUGAUAAAUGCUGUGUGCGCUUUGGCUUCUGUACCCACUGUUCUUUGGUCUAUUUCCCUCUCUUCAGACCUUCCUAUUCCCUGAGACACAACAAUAUUGAGAUUAGGUCAACUAAUAACCAUACGAUGGCCUCUAAAUGUUCAAGUGAAAGAAAGAAUCUCAUACCUGUCACUUUAGAUAAAAAACUAGAAAUGAGUCAGGCAUGGUGGCACACACCUGUAGUUCCAGCUACUCAGGAGACUGAGGUGGGAGGAUCACUUGAGCCCAGGAGUUUUAGGCUGCAGUGAGCUAUGAUUGUACCACUGUGCACCAGCCUGGGUGACAGUGAGACCCUGUCUCUAAAAAUAAUUAAGCAAACAAACAAAAUGAGAAAUGAGUAAGCCUAGUGAAGAAGGCAUGUAGAAAACUGAGACAGAGAAGCUGAAAGCUAGGCCUCUUGCACCAAACAAUCAGCCAAGUUCAGGAAAUGAGGCAGAGGUUCUUGAAGGACAUUAAAAGGUGCAACUCCAGUGCACACACAAAUGAUAAGAAAGAGAAAUAGCCUUAUUGCUGAUACAGAGAAAGGUCUGGAUAGAGUAUCACAUCAACCACAAUAUGCCUUUAAGCCAAAACCUAAUCCAGAGCAAGGCCUUAACUCUAUUCAAUGUUGUGAAGGCUGAGAGAGGCAAGGAAGCUACAGAAAAAAGUUUGAAACUAGCAGGUGUUGGAUCACAAGGUGCAAGGAAGGAAGCUGUCUCUGUAACAUAAAAGUGCAAGGUGAAGCAGCAAGUGCUGAUGGAGAAGCUGCAGGAAGUUAUCCAGAAUAUCUAGCUAAGAUCAUUCAGUGAAGGUGGCUACACUGAACAACAAAUCAUCAUUGUAGAUGAAACAACCUUUUAUUGGGGAAAGACGCUGUCUGUUUAGGACUUUCAGAGGAGAAGUCAAAGCCUGGCUUCAAAGCUUCUAAGGACGGGCUGACUCACUUGUUAGUGGCUAAUGCAGUUGGUGACUUUAAGAUGAAGCCAUUUCCAAACUCUUAGGGCCCUAAGAAUUAUGCUAAAUCUACCAUGCCUGUGCCCCAUACAUGGAGCAUCAAAGCCUGAAUGACAGCACAUCUUUUUGUAGCAUGGUUUACUGAAUAUUUUGAGCUGACUGUUGAAACUUAUUGCUCAGAAAAACAAAGAUUGCUUUCAAAAUAUUCUUGCUCAUAGACAAUACACCUAGUCACCCAAGAGCUCUGAUGGAGAUGAGUAAGGAGAUUAAUGUCAUUUUCAUGCCUGCUAACAUAGCAUCCAUUCUGCAGCCAUGGAUUAAAGAGUAAUGUUGACUUUCAAGUCUUACUAUGUAAGAAAUUUAUUUAGUAAGACUAUAACUUCUGUAGAUAGUGAAUUCUCUGACUAAUCUGGGUAAAGUUCAUUGAAAACCUUGUAGAAAGGAUUCGCCAUUCUAGAUGCCGUUAAGAACAUUCUUGAUUCAUGGAGGUCAAAAUAUCAGCAUUAACAGAAAUCUGGAAGAGAUCCGUUUCCAGUCCUCAUGGAUGACUGUGAGUACUUCAGGACUUCAGUGGAGGAAACAAGCUAUGAUUGUGCCAGAUGUGGUAGAAAUAGCAAGAAAAUUAGAAAUGGAGAUCAAAGAUGUGACUGAGCUGCUGCAAUCUCAUGAUCAAACUUGAAUGGAUGAGGAGUUGCUUCUUAGGGAUUAGCAAAGAAAGUGGCUUCUUGAGAUGGAAUCUACUCCUGGUGGAUGCUGUGAACAUUGUUGAAAUGAAAAUAAAGGAUUUUUUAGUUUUAUUUUUAUUCUUUUUGAAAUAGCGUCCCACUCUAUUGCCCAUGCUCGAGUGCAGUGGUACAAUCUUGGCUUACUGCAGCCUCAACCUCUCAGGUUCAAGCAGUCCUCCCACCUCAGCCUCCUGAGUAGCUAGGACUACGAGUGCAUGCCAUCAUGACUGGCUAAUUUCUUGGGGGAAUCUUUUUUUAUAGGGAUGGGUUUUCACCAUGUUGCCCAGGCUGGUAUUGAACUCUUGGGCUCAAGCAAUCCACCUGUCUCAGCCUCCCAAAGUGCGAUUACAGGCAUGAGCCACCACACCUGGCCGAUAACAAAGGAUUUAGAAUAUUUUGCAAACUCAGUUGAUAAAGCACUGGCAGAGUUUGAUAAAGUUAACUCUAGUUUUGAAAAAAAGUUCUACUGUGGUAAAAUACUAUCAAACAGCAUCACAUGCUACAGGGAAACCUUUCCUGAAAGGAAGAGUCGAUUGAUGUGGCAAACUUUAUUGUUAUCUUAAGAACUUGCCAUGGCUACCCCAGUGCUCAGCAACCGCCAUACUGAUUAGUCAGCAGCCAUCUGCACUGAGGCAAGACCCUUGACCAGCAAAAAGAUUAAAACUCGCUAAAGGCUCAGAUGGUUGUUAGCAUUUUUUUUGGCAAUAAAGUAUUCUUAAAUUUGGGUAUGUACAUUUUUAAAAGAUGUAUGCUAUUGUACUUAAUAGAUGACAGUGUAAUAUAAAUAUAACUUUGUUGUUGUUUGUUUGUUUGCCUGUUUUGAGACAGUCUCAUUCUGUUGCCCUGGCUGGAGUGCUGCAGCUUUGACCUUCUGGGCUCAAGCGAACCCCCCCAUCUCCACCUCCCAAGUAGCUGGGACUACAGGACAAGAUAUCCAUGCUCUAAGCUCAGGCGUUUGAAUUUUUUUGGUCAAUGAAAUGUGCGCAGGAGUGGCUUUAAGAGCCAAGCUCUCUUUCCUCCACCUCUGUGAUCAUGAAAGCACAUGUCAAGAUGGAGCUCCCAUUGGCUUGAGUCCCUGAGUGACUAGAAAGAGAAGAACCCCCAGCUGACCGCUUGGAAGCAUGUAGCAUCUAAAGUUGUUUUGACCAUGGCAGAUGAAGGCUCCCAGCCACAAGGGUGAUUGAGUUGCAUCCUCCUCCAUAUGUUGGAGAGGGCUCCCACUUCAUCCGCUGUCCAGCACAUUCAGAGGCCUAAACACCUCAAAAAAAAGAGCUGUCUGCCUGGAGGAUUGGUAUUCUGAACAAAGACCUCCCUGAGAUCCACAGCUGGGCUCCUGAUGAUCUGUAAACACACAUGGCCAAGCCAGGACAAUGGUGCUUCAGCAUCUGGAACCCAAACCUUGGCUAGUGCAUAAAGCUGUGCUGGAGGCUCACCUGCAUCCUUGAUGGCCAGCUCUCUUCCUAACAGUAGCCCGUCUGCGCUCUGUAGUGAUUCCCAGUGACCUCAUGCCAGCAUUGAAGCAACUUCCUGUUCUGCAAAUGAUUUAUGAUUCAUAAUGAGCAAAAGAUUCUGCUCUUCAAAUGACCUGUCACGGUGAGAAAACAUUCUUAAGACUGACCUCCUCACAAAAGUUGAUGAGAACCACAUGAGAAGAUCUUCAACAUCAUUAGCUAUUGGGAAACGCAAGGCUGUUCUUGCAUUACUAUGAAGAAAUACCUGAGAUUGGACACAGUGGCUCACGCCUGUAAUCCCAGCACUUUGAGAGGCUGAGGCAAGAGGAUCACCUCAGGUCAGCAGUUCAAGACCAGCCUGUCUAACAUGGUGAAACCCCAUCUCUACUAAAAAUACAAAAAAAAAAAAAUUAGCUGGGCGUGGUGGUGGGCAGCUGUAAUCCCAGCUACUCGGGAGGCUGAGGUGGGAGAAUUACUUGAACUCAAGAGGCAGAGGUUGUGGUGAGCUGAGACUGCACCCUUGCACUCCAGCCUGGGCAGCAAGAGCCAAAACAAAACACCAACAAAAAAACCUGAGACUGAGUAAUUUAUUUAAAAAAGAGGUUUAAUUGGCUUGUGGUUCUGCAGGCUGUACAGGAAGCAUAGCAACGUCUACUUCUUGGGGGGCUUCUGGAAGCUUCCAAUCAUGGCAGAAGGCAAGUGGGGGGGCAGGCAUGUCACAUGGCAAAAGCAGGAGCAAGACAGAAAGGGUUGGGUGAACGCUGCACUUCUACGCAGUCAGAUCUUGUGAGAACACACUCAUUAUGCCAAGGACAUCACCAGCAGAUGGUGCUAAACCAUUCACUAGAAAUCCACCCCAUGAUCCACUCAUCUCCCACCAGGCCCUGUCUCCAAUACUGGGAAUUACAUUUCAACAUAAGAGUUGGGUCCUCACCCAGACAUACAAACUAUAUCAGUGUUUUCUCCUCCCAGGCUUGGCUACACAUUGGUUCUCAGGCUGUCUUGUAUGGAAGGCACUUGUAAGGGAAUACUCAGUCACCUUUGGGGAUCUGGGAUCCACAACAGAUGGGCAGCAAUUCUGGAACAAACAUGCCCUGGCUUGUGUCAUCUCAUCUUUGUCCUCCAGAGGUGAGCAGUUUCUCACCUCCUGAUCAUCCCAAAUCUCUUUAUCUAUUAAACAAAACCUGGUGAUGAUAAGUUGUACUAUUAGUUUUCUAUUGCAGUGUAGCAAGUACCACAAACUUAGUGGCACUCCCUUAGUGUCUCCAAAUUCUGUCACUCAGAAGUUGGCGUAAGUAUGGCUGGAUUCUCUACUUAGGGUCUCACAAGACUGAAAUCAAGGUGUCAGCCAGGCUAGGCUCCUAUCUGGAGGUUCUAAGGAAGAAUAUACUUCCAAGUUUAUCCCUUAAACUUUUUUUUUUUAGGAGACCCAGUCUUUAUCUGUUGCCCAGGCUGGAGUGCAGUGGCAUGGUCAGAGCUCACUGCAGACUUAAACUUCUGGGUUCAAGCAAUCCUCCCACUUCACCUUCCAAGUAUCUGGGACUACAGGCAGGCACCACCAUGCCUGGCUAAUUUUGAAAAUUUUUUGUGAAGAUGGGGUCUUACUAUGUUGCCCAGGCUGGUCAGGAAUUCCUGGAGUCAAGCAAUCCUCCUGUCCCAGCUUCCUGAGUAGAUGGGAUUAUAGUGUGAACCAACAUGCCUAGCCAAGCUCAUUCUUAUUAUUGGCAGAAAAUUCAGUAACUUGUGACUAUAGGGCUGAGGUCCCAGUUUCCUUGCUGGCUGUGGGCUGGAGUCACCCUUAUCUCAUAGAUGGCAUUCCCUGGUCCUUACACAUGCCCUCCUCAAAAUACCAAGCCUUGGGACCUUUAAUUUUUCUCAUCCUUUGAAUCUCUCUGACUUACCCUUCUGCUGCCGGCUUGAGAAAACUGUCAGCUCUGAAAGGUCUGAUGUGAUCAUAUCAGGCCCAUGAAUAACCUUCCUUUGGAUUUACUCAAAGUCAACUGAUAAGUGACCUUAAUUACAAUUGCAAAAUUCUUUUUGCUGGGUAAAGUAACAUGAUCCCAGGUGUGAUAUUGCAUAAUGUCCACAGUUCUGGGGAUUAGGGUAGGAAACCUUGUGGGUCCUGUUGGAAUUCUGCCUACCACAUUCACAGCCCCUUUUAUCUUAGAAUGUUUAACCUUCACCUUUUCCUCAAUGGGAAGGGAAGGUGAUCUCUUGAUGCUGGAUUCAGGAGAAGAACCUCACUGUGACAAGGUGUUCAAGGGUGCUUGGCGGGGGUAGGAUUAAGAGCCAGGAAGAUGAAUUAGUCUUGGAUGAAGGACAGACAUUUUAUUUACUCAUCCAGCCAUGUUUAUGAAGAACUUCUCUUACCAAUUGCUCAGGAUCUCACAGGGAACAGAACGGAGAUAGUCCACGCCCUCACAGAGCUGACAGUCUGGUGGGGUAGCCCAUAUUAAGGGUAAUGAGUGUUUCCCAAGCAGAAGCAGAGGGUUCUGUGGGAGGAAAACUGAGGCAAGAAUAUCAGAAAGGAGAAAGUGAGCAGCGCUUGACUUAGGUUGAAGGACAGCUUCUGUGGGGAAUGGGAAACUCACCAUCUCCCAGGCAAAGUUAGAGCUUUAAGCUCUAUAAUGGCUUAACCAUUAUAAUCUGGUCGACAGAGCGCCAAGUCCUCCAAGAAUCCUGGGUUCUCCUCAGGUCCCAUGGAUUACCAGGAAAUGCCCUGUCUUAGCUCAUUCGCUCAGCCUAGAGGUUACUAACCUGAGUAACAUGCUUACUAGGGCUGGAAUGUAAUACAAAUAUGUGAAACAGGCUGUGUGUAAAGAAAAGAACCUGGCAAGUGUGUUGGCAAAUGGCAAAUAGUGGCCCAGGACCUCAGUCUCAGGGAUUAAUCAGGAACUGAACAGGAGUGUGGAUACCUCUCUAAGGGGACCGCCAGUACUUAGUCCAGCUGAUUAUGCCAUGGGGGACAAACUGUCAGAUCAACUGGCUUUUAACAAAAUUCAGAUUACCUUCUGAAACAUCUCGGAUUUUAAAAAGCUGAGUAAUUUAAAAUGUAAGUAAUUUUUAAAAAUGUAAGGACCUCUAAAAAAUGUAAUGUAAGGGGUGAUGGAUGUGAAGUUGUUUAUGGCCCGUGGUCGUUUGUGGCUUUCCAGAUUGCCCUUGUGCAAUUUUGUUUUGGAUGUUCCAGCCCCAGCUUGAACCAAGAAAAAUUCUGAGCAUGAAGGUGGCCUCUGCAUCUCAGGGCUCCCAAGUCAGAAGUUCUUCAGAGACAUCUUUUAGAUUUCAGCAGAGGGAAUCUCGUGUCUGCUCCUUGAGAGUUCCCCCUUCCACUGUGAUGAUGACAACAAUCCCAUUGCCCUUUCUGCUGUGCAUGUUAGAGGCUCAGAGUUCAAUUUAAUUGAUUGUUUCUCCUGAAUCCAGUAUUUUUUCUUCAUCAUCCUUCAGGUGGUCUUAUCGACUCAGGCAACUGUACAGGCUUCUAUUCCACUUCCUAGCACUUACUAUCCGACUCUGGACAGAAAAAAAAAUAUCUACAGGUACCUGUAGACCCAAAGGCACUGUGUAGGCACUCUAUAAAUAUUUGCGGGUUGAACCCAUGAUGUGUUGGCCAUUGUUUUUUGUUAGUGUAAGAAAUGGACAUAUGUAAAAGAACUUUGUACAUUUUGUAAUCACUAUUAUUAAAGAACUCAUCCUUUGCCUUGCUCAAUGACCCUUAAUUAGUUAGGUUGGCCAACCAUACCAAUUUUCUCAGGACUGAGGGAGUUCUUAGGAUGUAGGAUUUACAGUUUUAAAGCUGAGAUGGAGCCAGGCAUGGUGGCUCACACUUGUAAUCCCAACACUUUGGGAGGUCAAGGCAGGAGGAGCGCUUGAGCCCAGGAGUUUGAAACCAGCCUGGGAAAUAUAGUGAGAUCUCCUCUCUACAGAAAAUUUAAAAACUAGCUAAGCAUGGUGGCAUGUGCCUGUAGUCCCAGCUACUUGGGAGGCUGAGGUAGGAGAAUCACUUGAGACCAGAAGGCAGUGAGUUGCAGUGGGCCAAGAUUGUGCCACUACACUCCAGCCUGGGCAACAGAGAGAGACCCUGUCUCAAGCAACAGCAACAAUAACAAACAGACAAACAAAACCCAAACAUGAGACGGAGCAGUUUCCCAGGAUAAGAGACUGUCCCAGGAAAAGGGAGAUGAGUUUGUCACUCUACCCUAAAUAAAGACCCAAAGGAAAACAAUAUUCUCUUGAAGCUCAAAAAAUUAUAAAAGCCUUUUUUUUCUGCUGAACUGGGGAGUUUCCUUUCAUCUUCUCAUGGCAGUUUUGAAAGCUUUCAUGUUUCCCUCUUUGCCUUGGCCUCAAAGUAGCUCCAAGGUAAGUUUGUGGGUAAUGUCAGUAGGAUCUGUCAGUCUAGAUGUGCAAAAUAAUUGUUUCAUUGCCUCUACCUUGCUUUUUACUUUUUUCUCUUUAGAAAUUUUAACUUAUGUUGCAAAUUGGACUUGGAAUUCUAUUAAACGACUCUUACCCAGCAUACAUGAAAAAUGCCUAGGCUUUUUGUCUUUUUACUUCCCUUCAUUUGGUUACUAGUUCAUUCUAUGUGUUUAUUAAAUUAUUUCAGUGGUUGGCAAACUAUGGCUUAUGGGCCAAAUCUGGGCUCACUGCCUCUUUCUGUAAAAAACAAAAAACUUUUAUCAGA